GCUGCAAUAUUUUUAUGUUUAACAUAGCAUUCAAUUCAGAACUUAUAGCCGGAGAAGUUAGAAGUUAUAUACUUAUAUUGUAGAUAUUCAACAGCGUUUAGCGAGAGGAAACCAAGAUGACGUCAGUUACGACUAUGUUCUGUUCAGAUUGGAUUGGGUUAUCAACCUUUUGACACGAUAGUCGAUAUACUUCAGAUUAACGAAACACAGAGAGAAAUGUGUUUGAGAUAGUUAUUACUCUUCUUCGAGAGGUGAAGGACAUAUGCUAUCCCGCGAGAAUUCCGUUUCCAUUGCGUAUCGCGUGGAUAGAAUCUUCACUGGGGUGCAUCGUGGGUGCAUGGAAGGCCUAGGUUUGACAUCCAGAGAGAACUUUUAAUUUAUAUUGGCAAAAUUCGUGAUAAAAGAAAACUUAGCAUGAUUAUGCAUUAUAAAUUAUCAUAAAUUAGCUUAUUCGUUCCUGCACUUCCGGCGAUUUGGAAGUUAGAACCGAAUUUGAGAUCGCAGAACCGAAUUUGAGAUUGCAGAACCGAAUUUGAGAAUAGGCCGUGAAUUCUAUUCUGUUGUUUUGAAU